rnacentral:rRNA from 1 species
GACGAACGCUGGCGGCGUGCUUAACACAUGCAAGUCGAACGGAAAGGCCCUGCUUUUGUGGGGUGCUCGAGUGGCGAACGGGUGAGUAACACGUGAGUAACCUGCCCUUGACUUUGGGAUAACUUCAGGAAACUGGGGCUAAUACCGUAUAGGAGCUCCUGUUGCAGGGUGGGGGUUGGAAAGUCUCGGCGGUCGGGGAUGGACUCGCGGCUUAUCAGCUUGUUGGUUGGGUAGGGGCUUACCAAGGCUUUGACGGGUAGCCGGCCUGAGAGCGUGAACGGCCACAUUGGGACUGAGAUACGGCCCAGACUCCUACGGGAGGCAGCAGUGGGGAAUAUUGCACAAUGGGCGGAAGCCUGAUGCAGCAACGCCGCGUGCGGGAUGACGGCCUUCGGGUUGUAAACCGCUUUCGCCUGUGACGAAGCGUGAGUGACGGUAAUGGGUAAAGAAGCACCGGCUAACUACGUG